UUGUGUCCAAUCAGCCGCAAAUGGCCCCUAAGCCACACUUUGGACAUCCCUGCCAUAUAAACAUAAAAGGUAAAAGCAGAAAUGUUUAACAGAUGAUGCUAAUAAUAACGUAAAGCUUUAAAUAUGUUUAAAUAUGCGUACUGUGAGUACUGCAGGUCUUUUUAUGAUAUCAAAGCGGGCCCUUGCAUCCUUUCAUAUUCCUGUUUGGGGUCCUUUGAGGUUUAGACACCCUGGUUAUGUUUUUAUUAGGACAAAUAAACCCAUACACGGGACUAAGAAAUGUUACUAUUACUUAACGAGCCAGCAGUCCAGGCUUCGGGAGGUCCUGGUCUUGGUUCCCUCCGGCCAACCUUGUAGAACUGUGUGACAAUACUCAGCAGCAUGAAUGAAUGAUUGGCAUACUCAGCAUCAUACUAAUGAGCACGUGAUGGUCGCAGUUAGCCUUCAGGGUCCGAGUCCCAUCGAGUCCCGUGAGAGGAGGCGAGAAGCGUUGAAGGCUGUGUUCUCCUUUUUUGCCACUCCAGCUGAUGAGUGGAAGGAGAUGAAGGUGGGAGGUGUCGGAACCGAGAGCAGAGGUGAGAGGAAGAAAGAAGAUGUGAAAGAAAUGUCCGACAUGUCCAGGGAGGACACCCUGGUGAGGUGCUGACCUGGAUGACCAAUGGGAGCGGCUGCUGUUACGGACUACCAAGAAGCUGGUGUCUGCACCUCCUGCUUCCUGGUGUGUUCCUUCUUUGACUUUGGGAAGGGAAAAUAAUACAAGAAAAUGCUCUCUUUUGUCUUCCUGCGCCUCAACAUUUUGAAAACACAGGAGUGGUCUUCCUUUGAUCCAACGGGCUUUCUUCUUCUUCCAUUUUUUAUUUAGUCUUCUCUUUUCUGCUGACCGCCACAAGCUUUUGUCGUCCGCCGUGAAGCACGAAUGCCUUAAACAACCAGCCAUGGGGCCAAUAAGGAUGUGGGUGGCAGCAAUUUCAUGCAAAAGCUGAGAAUUCCACCUCACCAGGAUGCAUCAACAUGAGCAACCUUGUGGACCACCUCGUCCACAUCCUGGUCCAACAAGUCCUGGAUGAGCUGAGCUGGAACACGUGGUCAGACUUUCACCAGGGGAAGAGAAUCCAUUUUCUGUGGAGAUAUAAAACACACAUUUGCCUUUAAUGACAAAAAGAC